CCCGCUGAACUUAAGCAUAUCAAUAAGCGGAGGAAAAGAAACUAACAAGGAUUCCCCUAGUAACUGCGAGUGAAGCGGGAAAAGCUCAAAUUUGAAAUCUGGCGGUUCUUGACCGUCCGAGUUGUAAUCUAGAGAAGUGUUACCUGUGCUGGACCGUGUAAAAGUCUUCUGGAAUGGAGCAUCAUAGAGGGUGAGAAUCCCGUCUUUGACACGGACUACCUGUACAUUAUGGUGCGCUCUCAAAGAGUCGAGUUGUUUGGGAAUGCAGCUCAAAAUGGGUGGUAAAUGCCAUCUAAAGCUAAAUAUUGGCGAGAGACCGAUAGCGAACAAGUACCGUGAGGGAAAGAUGAAAAGAACUUUGGAAAGAGAGUUAAACAGUACGUGAAAUUGCUGAAAGGGAAACGCUUGAAGUCAGUCGCGUUGGCUGGAAAUCAACCUUGCUCUUGCUUGGUGUACUUUCUGGUUGACGGGUCAGCAUCAAUUUUGACCGCUGGAUAAAGUCUUUGGGAAUGUGGCAUCUUAGGAUGUGUUAUAGCCCAUUGUCGUAUACGGUGGUUGGGAUUGAGGAACUCAGCACGCCGCAAGGCCGGGUAUUCGUACCACGUUCGUGCUUAGGAUGCUGGCAUAAUGGCUUUAAUCGACCCGUCUUGAAACACGG
rnacentral:rRNA from 1 species